AGAAUGACACUCCAGGUGGAAUGGCUUCCCUUGUGUAUCCGGUGGCCUCGGUGAGUGAGUCAGAGGUGUGCCCACAAUGCCGGAGGCUCCAUUGCAGUGGGUGUGUUACUCA
rnacentral:miRNA from 1 species